ensembl:snoRNA
ACUGCCCCUAGAGGCGUUGCAGAUGUGGCAGCCGUGCCACAUUUGUGUCAUUAGGUGGCGGAGAGAAGAGAGGCUUGACCAUGUCCAGCGUUCUGGCCCGUGGACAUCUGGAUGAUUGAUAGUCUGACACU